rnacentral:tRNA from 1 species
GCGCCGAUAGUCUAGCGGUAGGAUAUCAGCUUGCCAAUAAAAAGCAGAAAGCUGACGACCCGGGUUCGAAUCCCGGUCGGCGCA